CCCAUUGGCUGCGCCGCUGGCGGCCUCGGGGCCAAUGACAGGGCGACGAGCUGCGGGGUCCGGACUUGACGUUGUGCGGCUACCCUCGGGGUUUAUUUGGCUCCGGGGCCUCUCACCGCCGCCAUUAGGAGCCCGCUGCGUCCGAGGCAGCCUCCCCUCCUCGCUCCCCCCUCCCCUCGGCGUCCCCCCGCCUCCGCGCCUGCUCUCCGCCCCUCUGCCCCCGCCUCCGGCAGCGGGAGCCGCGCGCGGGUCCGCGGAGACCAUGUCCUGACUGUGGGGAGAGGGCGGAGGCGGCAGCAGCGGGGCGGGCGGAGGCGCGGAGGGAGGCGGAGAGGGGCCGGGCUCGGCUCGUCGCCGCGGGCUGCUCGGGGGGGAGUCGCCGCCGCCGCCGCCGCCGCCGCCGCGGCUGCCGGGCGCCGAGCGUCGGACGGGGAGGAGGAGCAGGAGCUGGAGGAGGAGCUGCCGCCAGGGACUGUGGCCUCCCAGGACCCUCUGUCCAUGAGAUUUCCCAGGCAAGAAUACUGGAGUGGAUUGCUGUUUCCUUCUCCAGAGGAUCUUCCCGAUCCAGGGAUUGAACCUGUGUCAGCUGC
ensembl:lncRNA